UUUAUGUCUAUUGCAUUAUGCCUGAAUAAUUUUCAGUCUUUUUUUUUUUCCUCUCCUCUUGCACGCACAUGCUAAAAUAACUAGACAAAGAUGCAAGGUGGUUGCUGCAGUCCCUGUCUCUAGGACAGAACCAAGAAAGCUUGUGAUUGCAAUACCACCUUUCCUUUUUUUUUUUUUUUUCCUCCUUUUUUUUUCUUCCCUAGCCAUGCUUGGUGAUUAAACUUCCUCAGGAUGGGGAAGAAAAAGGAGCUGGAAAUGAAAUAGGGUUGAGGAAAAAUCCCAUUGCAGCAGCUGCAGCCAGUGGUGACUGCUGCCAGAUGUGCGAAGGUUCCUGGGGUCCUUGUCACUAAAAGGCAGUAUUCAAAUAUUUGGAGACAAAAGCUGCAUCCUCAGUGAUCAUUUUCUUUAUUUAACAUGGCAGCAGGCAUCGUGUGGGGAAAAAUCAACAUGCUGGAUGUUGAAUCGGACUUUUAUCCUUUCUGGGAUGAAAGGAUGUUAUCUAUCCCGUGCCAAGAGGGAACUGAGAGCAAUGAACAUAUGGCUGUUACUAUCAGCGCUGGUGUAUUUGCGGCGAUGCCUAUCAACAUCCACCAGAGAGCAGGGCAGCUCCAAAACCCACAUCUUUUAUGCUGUGGAAAUUGAUGGAGACAGCAGCACAGCCAGCUUCUUGGCCAAACAACAUGGAAUGCAGUUCAUUUCAAAGCCUGUAAGGCUUGUGCAUGAUGUCUCUGAGAGCAAUUUCCAGCAGAGUGAAGCCUUAUCACAGAUUCACCUAAAAGGUGAAGUGGGUGAAUAUCAGACAGCUCAUUAUAGAGACAUGCAAGCUGCAUUCCCAAAGUAGG
rnacentral:lncRNA from 1 species